AGCUGAUGAGUUUUGAUUUCUGUUUUCUGUAGAGUUUCCAGUCUCUCUCAGCACCUCCUGAAUCUACAGACGUAAAUGAUGAUCUCUUCAGUUCUCUCGUCUCUUCUGAUGCUCUGAGAGAAUCUGUUCAUCAGCUGAGAGACAAACUGGAGGAUUUCUGCAAAGAGGAGCUCAAGAAGAUCUCAGACAGAGUCACAUUCACCAACAUUGUUCCCAGAACCAGGAACGACUUCCUACAAUAUUCCCAUCAGCUCACUCUGGAUCUGAACACAAUGAAUAAAUGGCUCCGUCUGUCUGAAAUAAAAAGAGCGAUUAUUCAAACUAAAAAAAAGCAGCUGUAUCCUGAUCAUCCAGACAGAUUUGAUUAUUGGUAUCAGGUGUUGU